rnacentral:lncRNA from 1 species
AAAAUUAUAUUUUAUUUGUUUGUUAAUUAACAUUAAAACAUAGUAAUAUUCUUACCUAUAAUUUUUUUUGCUAAUAUUAAAAUAAAAAGAGAAAAUUACAAUUACCUCCCUUGAGGUUUCAUUAAAAAAGACUCACUCCCCCUCUUAUAUUAAAAUGGAGAAUAACCAUUCUUAAUUGUUAUAUGAAUAGACACUUUCCCUUUGACUAACUUCUCUUUCUUUAAUUGCGUGUUCUUGUCCUUCAUCUUCAUUUGCAAACAUAGAGCAUUUUUCAUUCUCGCAAGUAACCCACCUCUACGUCUUCACCUUUAUAGUAUCAGAUCCUUUGCCUUUUCUUCUUCAUGGACGAUCUUGAUAUAUAUUUUGCAUUUUAUUGUUAAAAUUGACUGACGUUUUGUGUAUUUUAAGACACUACAUAUGUAAUUGUUGCACAAGGUGGUUGUUGAUUUGUCUAACUAAAAUCUACUCUCGUUUUUUUAGUCCGCGUCAUCAAACAAAGACAUCAUAAAACAUUGAUGGAGCUAGA